GUUCAGUUUUGGCUCUUGAUAGUGCAAUACGCUUGUUUUUCCUCUACUCAUGAGCAAAGCAAUAUAUACUCAAGCCACAGCCCUUCAGCCUCUAGAAAUCCUUGCUGCUAAAAGUGUGUGCAGCUGAAUUUGGAAAUAAAAAGAAGAUAUAGAUGUGGAAAGGACUUGAAUUGAUUCUGUGUGACUGCAAGUCUGAGAAUUACUACACCAUGCAGACCUGUGAUUCAGCAGUGCAACUUCGGAAGGCAGGCAAAGUCACUGUGAAAGAGUCCAGUCUGAAAGGUUU
rnacentral:misc_RNA from 1 species